CCCUUAGAUGUCCUGGGCCGCACGCGCGUUACACUGAUGCAUUCAACGAGCUUAUAACCUUGGCCGAGAGGCCUGGGCAAUCUUGUUAACGUGCAUCGUGAUAGGAUAGAUUAUUGAAAUUAUUAAUCUUGAACGAGGAAUUCCUAGUAAACGCAGAUCAUCAAUCUGCAUUGAUUACGUCCCUGCCCUUUGUACACACCGCCCGUCGCACCCACCGAUUGGAUGGUCCGGUGAAGCCUCGGGAUUGUGGUUCUUGCCGCUUUAUUGUGGCGUGACCGCGAGAACUUGUCUAAACCUUAUCAUCUAGAGGAAGGUGAAGUCGUAACA
rnacentral:rRNA from 1 species